AGUGGGAUUACUGGGUCAAAUGGUGGUUCCAUUUCAAGUUUUUUGAGGACUUUCCAUACUGCUUUACAGAAUGGUUGCACUAAUUUGAAGUCCCACAAGCAAU
rnacentral:pre_miRNA from 1 species